rnacentral:rRNA from 1 species
GACGAACCGUGCGAACGUUGUUCGGAUUCACUGGGCUUAAAGGGCGCGUAGGCGGAUCAGCAAGUCCGGGGUGAAAGCUUUCGGCUCAACCGGAAAAGGGCCUUGGAUACUGCUGGUCUGGAGGGAGGUAGGGGCAUGUGGAACUUCCGGUGGAGCGGUGAAAUGCGUAGAUAUCGGAAGGAACGCCGGUGGCGAAAGCGACGUGCUGGACCUCUUCUGACGCUGAGGCGCGAAAGCCAGGGGAGCAAACGGG